AGUGAACGCUGGCGGUAGGCCUAACACAUGCAAGUCGAACGGCAGCACAGUAAGAGCUUGCUCUUACGGGUGGCGAGUGGCGGACGGGUGAGGAAUACAUCGGAAUCUACUUUUUCGUGGGGGAUAACGUAGGGAAACUUACGCUAAUACCGCAUACGACCUACGGGUGAAAUCAGGGGAUCUUCGGACCUUGCGCGAUUGAAUGAGCCGAUGUCGGAUUAGCUAGUUGGCGGGGUAAAGGCCCACCAAGGCGACGAUCCGUAGCUGGCCUGAGAGGAUGAUCAGCCAAACUGGAACUGAGACACGGUCCAGACUCCUACGGGAGGCAGCAGUGGGGAAUAUUGGAAAAUGGGCGAAAGCCUGAUCCAGCCAUACCGCGUGGGUGAAGAAGGCCUUCGGGUUGUAAGGCCCUUUUGUUGGGAAAGAAAAGCAGCAGGUUAAUACCCCGCUGUUCUGGCGGUACCCAAAGAAUAAGCACCGGCUAACUUCGU
rnacentral:rRNA from 1 species